CCUACGAGUGGCAGCAGUUAUUAAUAUUUUUCAAUUUUCUUUAUCCUGAACCCGCCCCGUCGCGUGAAGGAAGAAGGUACUUAGUAUUGUAAACUUCUUUUGUCGGGGAACAAAGGCGGAGACGCGUCUCCGGAUGAGUGUACCCGAAGAAAAAGCAUCGGCUAACUCCGUGCCAGCAGCCGCGGUAAUACGGAGGAUGCGAGCGUUAUCCGGAUUUAUUGGGUUUAAAGGGUGCGCAGGCGGGAGAUCAAGUCAGCGGUAAAAUGUCGGGGCUCAACCCCGGCCGGCCGUUGAAACUGGUUUUCUAGAGUUGGAGAGAAGUAUGCGGAAUUCGUGGUGUAGCGGUGAAAUGCAUAGAUAUCACGAAGAACUCCGAUUGCGAAGGCAGCAUACCGGCUCCAUACUGACGCUGAGGCACGAAAGCGUGGGGAUCGAACAGGAUUAGAUACCCCUGUAGUC
rnacentral:rRNA from 1 species